rnacentral:lncRNA from 1 species
GCUUAUAGGCUCCUAUGAACCUUCCCAUGGCUGUGGUGAACAUGAGAGGAACAAAAAAGCUUUCUAGAUGAAGCUUGAUGGUGUCUACUAUCCAUUGAAUGAUAGUAUCAGUUGGCAAACUACUUGCAUGGAGGAGAUGAAGCAAGACAUAGCCAGAAUUCAGAACGCGACCGACGUUGCUUGACCUCCAUCGAUCGACAGAAGACAACCACCAUCAAUCGAUAUUAGACCACCUGUAGAAACCAAUAAAAAACAAAAACAAAAGAGAAUGGUCGAGUAUCUUUUGGGUGGUCGAGUCGCGGACGAUCAGAUUGUUGUUGUCUGAACCAUGAGUCAACAAUGCCACUAGACAAUGGUUAGACAAUGUGGUGGCUUCUGAUUGGCUGCUUAUAGGCUCCUAUGAACCUUCCCAUGUAUCAGACCAGAUACAUGGUCCAUGCUCCUUUAACUUUACAGCUCACUUCAGCUCAUGACAGCCUGGCCUUAUCCACAAACGUCCACAAGCUGCUACAGCUCAGGUCGCCUCUCUUCUUGCUGAACCGGCGCCCUAUCUUUGCACUUCUUCACUUCGGGUUGAUCCGGAACAAGUACGGUCGAUGGUACGGACCACCUGCCCGUACCUCGCCCUAUUUUCGCACCAUCACCCAACUAUCUCCAAAUGGUGUCUAAGUCCCUCCUGGACUUGACCCUAUCUU